CCCGCCUCCCAAAUGGAACCUAUAACCAGUCAAUGCAGAAAUUUCCUGGUCAGCAUUGAGACAUUUACUGAUAGACCCCAUCUGUUCCCCUUAGGAGGGCAACCUUGCCUAAAACAAUGGAUUCUUAGCUAAUAAUUUCCUUUUUUCAACUCUCUACCUUUAAAAACCUUUCCUUUUCUGUAGCCCUUUGGAACUCCCCUAUACUUGCUAGAGGGGAUGCUGCCUGAUUCCUAAGUUGAUUAGAUCUUUCAGAUUUACUCGGCUGAAUUUUUGUUAUUUACCAAUAUAAAUUUGUUUAACCAGCUUUCUAAAAUGUAGCGAAUUUAAACCAGCUCUGAGGAAUUGGGAGAAUGUUUUGGAAGUAGGUCUUCAAUAACCUGCUAUGUUGUAUACGGGCAAUAACUAAUUGUGAAUUCCUUUUUACUGCGUGGCCAAGAGACUCUUCUUCUCUAGGCCAUUCUUACACUAGGAAAGGGUGAAUACUCAUGAAAUGUUUAUGUAUAUGUAUAUGUAGCCAUUAGUCUCCAAAGAUGGCCCUCCAGCAGUCUUCUCUUUUUAUACAUAUGUUGCUCCCUACAUCAAGAGGUGAAGCUUAUUUCCUGUCCCACGUACCCUUCCCUCUCUUGAAUCUGAGCUGGCUUUGUGACUACCUUUGACCAAUAGAAUGUAGCAGAAGUGACAUUCUGGAACUUCUGUAGAACACCAGGUCUUAAAACCGGCAACUUUCACUUCCUGCUUCUUGGCUAGCUACCAUGCUAUGAAAACCCCAUGGCACAAGGAGGGGUACUGGGAUAGACCCAGGCGAGCUGACCCGUAGAUGCAGGCAGAGAGAGCCGCGAUGUAUCGCUCUCAACCCCUGCUGCUUGCGGACCUCCUGGCUGAAGGCUUCCUUUCCAGCAUGAGAUCGGCGGCAGUUCACGCAGCUCUUCCAAGAGAUAACAGGACAAUUGGCGGUGUUUCUUUGGUUUGGAGAAAAAAAAAAGUCCAGUCUGUAAAACAUUAAAACUCCAGACUCUACCCAAUAAGACUCCUCACUGACAAGGUGAGACUGCCGUCGGCUGGAAAAUGAGCCACGAGGGCUGGAGGACCUGGCCAACAUCUCGUCUCCAUCCCCCUGAUCGGCUGGUCACCUCUUCAAAGGCAACCUGUUCCUGGAACAAGCCAGACUUGUGUAAAAAGAAAGUAACUGUUUUCUCGUGAACGCCCCGACAAACCUGAGGUCAUGGUUUGGUCUCCCGUGUGCCUGGAUGAAAUUUACAGCUUUUCCAGUCUCUGCAAAGUAACAAACAGGCCAAAGAGUUGUCAUCAUCAUCAUUUCAGAAAUAGUCUCUUGUUCUGGCUAUCAACAAGUCUCAUCGAGUGAUCGAUCAAAACUUCAAAUGUCAGUUAAUUUUAAAACUUCUUCCCUUCCCCGGCCCGGAAAUCUGAGGGAGAACGGGGGUCACGGUCAGCGUCAUUUUGAUUUCUCGCACAGGACCUCUUCCCACUCGUGGCUGUUCCGGGCCUGCUCUCGUGUGGCCGCAGGGGAAGGAGAGGGGGUGUUCCCUUUGGCCGGACUCCUUCUUGAAAUGGCCAAACCUGCCUGCCUCUCUCAAGAAGCACAGCAAGCCUUCGGGAACCCAGGAACUUGGGGCGUGCAAGCCAUUUGGAGCGCAGUCUUCUCUCCUCUUCUGUCUUCUCAAGGAGCCAGCCACCGACAGUUUGUCUUCAGACUUUAGGAAGAAGUCAGACACCAGUCCCUUUGUCCCUGAAACUCCGCAGGCUGUAUCAAACUCCCCGGGUGGUCCUCUUGAAGCGCCCCCUCAUUUGGCCUGAAGCAAAGAGGGAGCACCCCCCACCCUCCCCUGCUUGGGGAGAAGGGGAAACGUCCAGCAUACAGACAGCUACUUCCAAAGAAAUCCUCUCACAUUCUCUUCCAUAGCCUGAGGUGGAUGCCGAGCUAAUCCUUCCCAGUAUUGAGCUAGUGCUUCCCGGGGUCCAUUUCACAACCUCUUAGGGUGGGUGCAUAGGUGAUCUGGCUCCUCCUCCCUUUAGAAUGUGGACAGAUUGGCGCCUAUGGUUUGGUUCUCAGCCUUUGGGGUUUCUGGUGAAACUGACACAGAAAGAGUGCCGUUUUAGUAAAUGAAGUCACCACUGUCAACCCCUCCUCCUUAUGGAACUCCUGUUCUUACAUCAGGACACCUGAUGCGCUGUAGGUGAUCUGCAAGAGUCUGACUUAUGAAAUGGACUGUGAAUGUACAGUUCAUAUAGAAUUAAGUACUAAGUAGCAUAUAUAUUAUAAUUUCAUAUUCAAUAUUAAUGUUUGCAUACUAUA